rnacentral:rRNA from 1 species
GGUCCGCCUGCCCUGUGACUAUUAGUUUAACGGCCGCGGUAUUUUGACCGCGCGAAGGUAGCGCAAUCACUUGUCUCUUAAAUGGAGACCUGUAUGAAUGGCACAACGAGGGCUUAGCUGUCUCCUCCCCUAAGUUAAUGAAAUUGAUCUCCCCGUGCAGAAGCGGGGAUAAAUACAUAAGACGAGAAGACCCUAUGAAGCUUUAGACCUAAGGUAGCCCGUACUACAAUACCCUCCUGAUAAAGAAACAAACCAAAAGGCCCACUACCCCAAUGUCUUUGGUUGGGGCGACCGCGGGGGAAGAAGAAACCCCCACGUGGAACGGGAGUACAACUCCUUAAACUCAGAGCCACAGCUCUAAGUAACAAAAUUUUUGACCUAAAGAUCCGGCAAUGCCGAUCAACGGACCGAGUUACUCUAGGGAUAACAGCGCAAUCCCCUUUUAGAGACCCUAUCAACAAGGGGGUUUACGACCUCGAUGUUGGAUCAGGACAUCCUAUUGGUGCAGCAGCUAUUAAGGGUUCGUUUGUUCAACGAUUAAA